CAGAGCUGUGCGGGAGAGAAUAAGCCACCCAUUGGGUUAUCGCCGAAGGAGCAACCGCCCCGGAAACUCUCAGGCAAAAGGACCGCAUAGUAAGC
rnacentral:ncRNA from 2 species